rnacentral:rRNA from 1 species
AUUGAACGCUGGCGGCAGGCCUAACACAUGCAAGUCGAGCGGCAGCACUUCGAGUGGCGAGCGGCGGACGGGUGAGUAACACGUAGGAAUCUACCUAGUAGUGGGGGAUAGCCCGGGGAAACUCGGAUUAAUACCGCAUACGCUCUACGGAGGAAAGGGGGCUUCGGCUCUCGCUAUUAGAUGAGCCUGCGUCGGAUUAGCUAGUUGGUGAGGUAAAGGCUCACCAAGGCGACGAUCCGUAACUGGUCUGAGAGGAUGAUCAGUCACACUGGAACUGAGACACGGUCCAGACUCCUACGGGAGGCAGCAGUGGGGAAUAUUGGACAAUGGGGGAAACCCUGAUCCAGCCAUGCCGCGUGUGUGAAGAA